CCUGGAAACGGGGGUCAAGCCCCUGAAACGGGGUCUAAUACCGGAUACUGAUCCUCGCAGGCAUCUGCGAGGUUCGAAAGCUCCGGCGGUGCAGGAUGAGCCCGCGGCCUAUCAGCUAGUUGGUGAGGUAACGGCUCACCAAGGCGACGACGGGUAGCCGGCCUGAGAGGGCGACCGGCCACACUGGGACUGAGACACGGCCCAGACUCCUACGGGAGGCAGCAGUGGGGAAUAUUGCACAAUGGGCGAAAGCCUGAUGCAGCGACGCCGCGUGAGGGAUGACGGCCUUCGGGUUGUAAACCUCUUUCAGCAGGGAAGAAGCGAAAGUGACGGUACCUGCAGAAGAAGCGCCGGCUAACUACGUGCCAGCAGCCGCGGUAAUACGUAGGGCGCAAGCGUUGUCCGGAAUUAUUGGGCGUAAAGAGCUCGUAGGCGGCUUGUCACGUCGGUUGUGAAAGCCCGGGGCUUAACCCCGGGUCUGCAGUCGAUACGGGCAGGCUAGAGUUCGGUAGGGGAGA
rnacentral:rRNA from 1 species